rnacentral:rRNA from 1 species
GACAGAGGUCCCGAGCGUUAGGCGGAAUCACUGGGCUUAAAGCGUGUGUAGGCGGCGGCCUAAGUACCUUGUGAAAUCCCAACGGCUCACCCGUCGGAACUGCUCGGUAUACUGGGUCGCUUGAGCCACUUAGGGGCUACCGGAACAAAUGGUGGAGCGGUGAAAUGCGUAGAUAUCAUUUGGAACGCCAAUGGUGAAAACAGGUAGCUGGGAGUGAUGCUGACGCUGGAGACACGAAAGCCAGGGGAGCAAACGGG